UAUUCUGACCGUGCAAAGGUAGCAUAAUCACUUGUUCUCCAAAUAAGGACUUGUAUGAAUGGCCACACGAGGGUUUUACUGUCUCUUACUUCCAAUCAGUGAAAUUGACCUUCCCGUGAAGAGGCGGGAAUAAAAAAAUAAGACGAGAAGACCCUAUGGAGCUUUAAUUAACUAUUCCAAAAGUUAAACAAUUCAACCACAAAGGGAUAAAACAUAACUUAACAUGGACUAGCAAUUUCGGUUGGGGUGACCUCGGAGUACAAAAAACCCUCCGAGUGAUUUUAAUCUAGACAAACCAGUCAAAAUAACCAUAACAUCACUUAUUGAUCCAAAACUUUGAUCAACGGAACAAGUUACCCUAGGGAUAACAGCGCAAUCCUAUUCUAGAGUUCCUAUCGACAAUAGGGUUUACGACCUCGAUGUUGGAUCAGGACACCCAAAUGGUGCAACCGCUAUUAAAGGUUCGUUUGUUCAACGAUUAAAGUCCUACGUGAUCU
rnacentral:rRNA from 1 species